UUCUAGGUUAGGAGAGAAAGGAGGAACUCCUUCAGAGUCCUCCUGGAGCUCCUUUGGUUUCUUUAUUGCUUUUAUCAGUUUUAUAUCUAUUCUUUCUAUGAGUUUCUGUGACAACUUCAUGCUUAACUUCAUGCUUGAAUAGAUCCACCUGCUAGGUUUAGGGUUCAAAUAGGUUAUGAGGGAUUAGCCCCAAAUAUAGAAUUGCUAGGUUGUGAUAUUCGUCAAUAGGAUGUUCUUACUGCUUGUGUUCUAGAGUCGCGAACUAGAACCCUGAUCUUAGAAUCAUUAGGCACAAGCGAUAACUUGGUCUUUUCUCUGAAUAGAUCCUCAUUGAACUAGGAUUGCUAGAAACAAGUGAUAACUAAUCUACGAACCCUAGUGAGUACUUUAUCAAACCGCGCCCAAAGCUUGCUUGAAGUCUGUCGAUCAAUAUUCUAAUAGAAUAAUCGAUCGACGUCGUGAAAGGUGUAUCGAUCAAUAUUCCUCUAGAAUCAUCGAUCGACACUUUCUAAUUGAUCGAUAAACGAUAGUUGAGAUCAUUAGAUUUAGUCAAUAGACGAAUCUAGAAGCGAGAGCUGAUCGAUUUGUGUUUAAUUGUUGAGCUCUUUAAUAUCUUACAUACAACAAUUAGUCUCUAUAUCAUUAUAAUCCUGAUUACAUAAAUAGAAACCCUAGAUCUAGUAACCAUCCUUCCAUCAAACCUCAAUCAAUCAGCCGAGCAACUGCCUUGCUCACCAUUGCAAUUUACUAUAUUUACUGCAUUAAUAAACUAUUAGCCUAGCUUAAUCCUAUAACUAUUAGAUCUUUUGUGUGCCCUAGCUAUCUGUAGAUUCGAUCCCUAAGUACUACAACUCGACCUCUUAUUUGAGAGAGUAUAAAUCACUCUUUAGGGUGAAUUGUGUGAUAUAAGGAGUGAUAUCAAUUGGUGUUAGAUCUUGAUAAAAUGAGGAAGUAUCCGUGGGGUCUUCAUGCUUACGAUCUACUACUAGAGUCCAUACAGAAAGCAAGGUACAAGUUGAAGAAUAACAUUUAUGUAUUGGAUGGAUUCUCCUAUGCCCUACAGAUUUGGCUUAUGGAGGCGAUCUCGGGCAUUGGAACUUUGUUGGGUCGAAAGUACAACGAAGGGAUAACCAGUGUGAGAUGUCAGAAUUGGUAUGGAAAUGGAAAUAUUUCUUAUCAUGAUAUCACUGUUCUAGAGGCUGCACUUGGAAAGGUGAACACAAACAUCAAAUUUAUUUACUUGUUUAUAUUAUAAAUACUUAUGUUCUUUGCUUUUCUAUUUACAGAAAGCGGUCGUGUUUCCAUUCAUUUCUGAUACAGGAAACAAUGAUGUCAUUGCUAAUGUGAUCUUCAAAAGGAAGAAGGAGAAGAAAGAUGAACGAGUUGACAAAAUUAUUUCCUUAAUCAGUGCAAAAUUUGAGUGGAGCAAAUUCGUCUGGGAAGUCGAGGAAGAUAUAUUGACUCAAGAUCAGCUAGAUGAGAAAGAUGAUGUUGCUGUGGAAGAUGAAGUAGAAAUAAUUGAAGAUGAAGAACCGAUUGAGCCUGUAGUUAAAAGAAGGGUCAAGAGUAAGGCAAAGGAUCCCGGUUCUGAAUCUAGGAAGAGACAACUACUUUGCCAACAUGCGGCAGGACAGAACACAUGUCUCCAUGAUGAAAUAAAGACCUUUAUUAUGAGAUUGUUUAACACUUCCUUCAACUCAAUGAAAGAAGAGGUCAAAAGCAUGUAGAUCAUGGCUUUGACAAGCUUGACAGUGAGAUUGCAAAACUCAAGCAAACAGUGACAUCAACUAUAAUUUCAAGAAACGAUGUCCUUGCAUCCGAGAUACCCCAGCCUUCGACAAUACCUAGCCCUCGUCCUAAAAGAAAGGUAAACAGGAAAUGAAGUUUUGUUUGUAAUAUUUUGUAACAUGUUGUAAUCUUUUAGCUAAGAUGUUUCUGUAUCAAACACAAGCCUGUAAUAUUUUGUGCCACUUUUGAAUGUAUGAUAUUCCUGGUCGUGUAUUAAUGUUGUUUUGGGUUGUGUUAUUAGCAGGAAGCACUACAAAAAAAAAGACUGAAUUAUACCAAUUAAUUUGAAUCACAAAAAUAAGUGAUAUUAUUUUAAAUUACUUAUUUCUAAAUGAAACAAAUAUUCAUUAUUUGGAAUCAAUUAUAGUAAUGAUGGUAUUAUUAACUAAUAUAACAUCAACUCAUCUAAACUGAUAUAUUUUAUAUUAAUUUGUAUCACUUCGCUAAAAUUGAUAUUAUUUUUUGACAUUUACAUCGAUUAAAUAAAUUAUGCAUAUAUUAUUUUUAGUUAACAUUAUUUAUUAAAAUGAUACAAUAUUUACAUCAAUAAAAACUGAUGUUAACAAAAAAUAUCUAACUGUAUUUCAUUUAAAAUCAGUUUAAUAAAGUGAUUUUAUUUUAUGUUAGUCUACAUCAUUUACAUCAUUUAAUCUAUUAUAAAUUAAUUUAUAUCAAUAAAAAUUAGCCUAAAACUUCAAAGAAAUCAAGAUCAGGAGGAGUGGUUACGAUUUUUUGGGUUUGAUAUUGUUGUGGCUUUAAGUUAAUUGCAUAUUUUCUUCCAUAACUGUCUCAUCUCAACAAAGCAUACCUUUCCCCCUCUCUCUCUCUCUCUCUCGAUGAUUAUUGUAUCAUCACAACUAAUUCCAAUCCUAAAUGAUCCAUUAAGAUAGCAAUAUUUGUUUUUGCUAAUUCCAAUCAGAUUGCAGCAUAGACACACACUCCAUUCUCGAUGUCAUAUACUUCAGGUCUUCGUUGUCGUCGUCUUUCCGUCACUGGACACAUAGCUUCUGCCACCUAAUAUGCUAUGAAACUCCAGAUUGGACCUUCUAUGUUUACAUGUGAGAUGUCAGCAUAUAUAGUGGGACCUACGGAGGGUUAAAGAACUAUGAAAUUGAUGCCAUGUUAUUUUUAUUCCGGGAGAGGGCAACAUUGCGACGAUGGAAGGCAAACAUGGUCGCUUUCAUGAGCUGCGUAUUCAGUAACCAAAUCAAGUGUUCAUACUCCACUUUUGUAAAAGACAUGAAAAAGUUUAAAGUAGAAGUAUUUCUACACGACUACGGGACAUGUCAACUUCCUCCUCAUGGAAGAACAAGACUAGUGUGGGAUGUCGACGUCAGCCGUAUGUAUGUUCAUGUUUUUGUCCACAGUUAGGUAAGUAGCUAAACUCGAGAUUGACUAGGGUUAGAUCGAUUCCAAAGCCUCACAACCAUCAACUUUAGCUUCUCAAAGGUUGAACUGCCAUCCAAAUUCAGUAACCUACCUCUUUUUUCUUCAGCAAGAAAAAUCCAUCCAUUUCUAACCGACGAGUUCCACAAACCACAAGAAGAAUAGAUAUGCAUCCUAGUAAAACCUAGAUUGACAAAAGAAAGAGGAGAAGAAACAAAGAAGAGAUUGUUGAGGAAGACGACUUCCUUUUACGAUUUGCAGUCAAAUUUUGGUAAAAAAAGUUAAAAAGUUAAAAAAGUAAAGAAAAUACUUUCAAGAUCUUCAAAAUAUUUACUAACCGUUUUUAGGCUUAAUUUUUGGAAUUUUGAAACAAAACAUGCAGAAAUGAGAUUCUACCGGUGAAAUGUAUAUAGAUGACAUGGUAGAGCCAACGUUCUGCUGAUAGUGAAAGAGAUAAUAGUAGAGUGUAGACAUUACCAAUAGUGGAGGAAAGAAUAAAGUGAAGACGGCAUGAUCUGCCAUCUUUUAGAAAAUAGAACAAAUAUUGGAUUGUAUUUUCUACGGAGGUAGAUGGACGCAAAUUUGGCAUACUACGUUUUCUAACUUCAGUAUAGUUUAGCUUUUUUAGCAGAUUCUACCAUUUAUUUUACCGUAGAUGGAAGAUCAUAUCUUCUACCAUUUUUAGAGCAUUACUGAAAUUGCAAAACCAAGCAAAACUUUUCACCAUUAUAUUUUUCAUAAGUGCUCAUGUAUGUUAAGAUCAUGUUUUGUAUUUUUCUUUAUUUUUUUGGCUUCUCAAUCAACUGAUAUGAAUUUUUGCAAAGUGUAAUGGUAGUCAUAGUCAAAAACUGCAAAAAGUUGGUUUUGUUCUAAGGAAGUAGCUAUAAGUUGUUUAUCCUAGUAGCUAUAAGUUGUUUCAAAUUGGUAUCUCGAAAAUACCAGAGAAGACUUCCCGAUAAGUCUUCUAGGAUAAACAUGUUAGUUUCACAAUUAACUGAAUUGUGAUGAAAUAGGUUUUUAGGGAUGAUGAUAUCUAUGUAAGUCUGAAUGUUUAUCCUAGUAGCUAUAAGUUGUUUCAAAUUAUCUAUAAGUUGUUUCAAAUUAGCAAAUUUUCUAUUUUCUUCAUUUGGUAACUCAAAGUCAAACUGUAAAAAAGUUAAAAAACUAACAUGUUUAUCCUAGUAGCUAUAAGUUGUUUCAAAUUAGCAAAUUUUCUAUUUUCUUCAUUUGGUAACUUCUGCUUUCUUAAAGCUCUUAAUUUUUUUCCCAAACUAAAACUAUCCAACCUCUCUCCAAUCUCUUAAAACUUGAAAACACCAAACUUUAUAUCAAUUUAUCAUUUUUUGUCAAAUGUCUUUCUCACUAAUUCAUUUUCUUUUGCAGGUUUUUUAUUACAUAGUUCUUAUCUUCUACUCCUUUAAAGGUAUAUCUAAAUUCUUGGAUAUGUUUUUUCAUAGGUUCUUUAAAGGUAGUUCUAUCUCAUCUUCCACUCAUUUUCUCUGUUUUGAAGCCAUUAAAGGUUUUUGGAUUUGCAGGUUUUUCAGAUCUAAAUCAGACUUUUGAAGACUUCUUAGAAGUCUUCUGGAAGUCUUCUAACAUAUAAUGCGCUAGAAGACAAGGAAGUCUUCUGACAGCGUUUUCUCCAAUGUCAAGUGGACUCCAAGCUUGUUUUUGUGGAUGAAUGAUCUAUAAUACUUUUGUGUAUGGUAUGUUUUGUGAUUCGUAUGUGUUCUCUUUUAGUUGUGAAUUCUUUUGUAAAUUUGAAGAGAUAUUAAUGAAUUUUUUUUUGGUAAAUAUGUUAAUGUCUAAAAUAUUAUCUUGCCAAAAGUACUUGACAUUAUUAAAGUUAUUGAUACAACUUCAAUAGCAAAACACAAUAUCACAAAAAAAUUGUCAAAAUUACUACAACUAAGAGAGAUGACAUCUCAAGAAAACUUAGUCAAAUUCACAAGAAUCAAACAUUGCAUAAGCUCAAACAUAUAACACUUUCACAAGAAUCAAACAUUGCAUAAGUUCAAACAUAUAACACUUUCACGAGAAGACUUCUUAGAAGACUUCUCGGAAAACAU